GUUAGCACUGUAGCCUAUGUGAGUGGCGCCCCCUGCAGUUAUCAGACAAACGCCCCUGCCCGUAGGCCCUAAGGAGAGAGCAGUUCCAGAGCCCUUUCCAGCUGGGAAAAGACCCCAGCCCCCUGUUGCCAGAAAGCUCUGCUCCCCAAACUCUUUCUACCGCACACCUCCUAUCACUUUGAUCUCAUCAGGAAGCCCAGAGGAGCUGAGAAGAGGAAAGGGAGGAGCAAUGCACUCUCACAUUGGCUGUAGUUUUGUUGUUGUUGUUGUUAACAUGUUCACAUUCCUGGCAUCUCUCAAGCUUCAAAGCACCCCCGCGGGGGCGCCAGGGCAGGGGGUUGUUAUGGGCCUCUGACAAAAUGGGUGAGGAUGUUGGACCCAGAUCGGGGCCACUGAGGUCCGGGUCCCCCGUUUCAGGUCUCCAAGGGCAGGAGGGGAGGGGAGUGGGGGCGAGCAGGCCGUGGCUUAGUAGUGAGGCCCGAGGCUCCCAGGGUCCUGCUCCAGCGUCUGCUCAUCGGAGAGCAGACGCCUCCGUGUGCCUCCGUCUCCUCGGCUGUCAAAUGGGCACACGGAGCCUGGGUUAGUAAGAACGGCUCCGGGCACGAAGAAGGAGCGGUGGCGCCCAAGGGCAGGUCCCUGAGAUCCGGCUUCUCCCUCCCUGGCCCCGCAGCCUGUCUCCACAACUCCCACAGUGCGAGAUCUCCGAGGACAGAAGUCCCGCGGAUGUCCCCGCUCUGGCCUCGGCAGCUGGCUUCCACUUCCUUGUUUUCCAUGCCAGGUUCUGAGGUCACGGCCCAGAGGUGUCCACAGCCCGGGGCCCCAGUGUCUGGCUUCGGGCUUGGGGAUCCCAGGAGCCCACCUGGCCCUCAAAGGCUGGUCCUUCGGGGCAGGUUCUUUUGUGUCAGGCUGGACUGGGGAUAAAUAGGUGUGAUUAGGAGAUCAAAGCGCUUACCACGGGUUUGGCCGGAGGGGGCCCUUUGAUCUGCCCAUCCCUUUGCCUCCCCCCCACCCCCCAAGCCCUGGAGUCCCGGCAACUCCGAAAUCUCCCCGCUUUCAUUCUUGUCUUAUCAAGCUGCUGCCUCAGCUCCCCGCACCGGGCGCGUCUCGCCUGUUGAGGAGGAGCUGGGUUUUCCCUCCAGGUUGUUUACUAAAUCACCAGUUCGAAGCCGUAGGCAGGGCGCUGCAGCAGGCCUGCGAAACCCGAGCGGUUUCAUUUUGAGCCUCGGUUGCAAAACCUGAAAUCUUGAUCUGCUUGUAAAUGAUGGGCGGGUGAAUCACGCCUGCCUCUCGGGGUAUCUAAUUAGAUGCAGGUCCUGCCUGGUCUCCCAGAACUUGGCCCAGCGCAGGGAGGGAUCGUUCUGAGUCUUCUUUCUUGUUCCUUUGAAAAGGAUAGAAAUUCCUGUGACUGCUUAUUGCAGUGGACCUGUGGAAUUUUCCUCCAAACCUGACUGAUGGCUCCUACCGAUCGUCAUCGUGGCCCAGAACGCAGCCUCUGCCACCUUGGGGCACCUCGGCAGGCUCUUCAGGCUGCGAGGACCCCAGACUAGAAGAGAGGAGCUGGUCUAGGCACCGGGGACGUAUCAGUGAGCCAGAUGGACCGGAGGUUCUACCUCUUGGGGAGUUUGUGUUCCCAGGAAUGGGGGAAGACAAACAAUAAAUAUAACCACCGAGAGAAUGUUAUCUUAUCUCUUAAAAAGGGAACGGCAGACACAGAAGCUCUGAAAAGCUACCCUCCCGAAAGAGACAUUUCCAUGUACAAGGGAACUCUCCGUUUUUGCAAGGGUGGCUCCCUCUCUGGACCGGGAAGAGAAGAAAUGACCAAAUCUCUAGCAACUCUGAUCAGUGGAGGAGGCCCUGACCUAAAUCUGCAUCACAACCUUAACACUUGUUGCUUGUGCUUUUCCGGUAACCUCCCGGAGCCGGCCUUCCCCUCCCCCAACAUCUUCUUCGGGCUUUGGCUGGAGAUGGUAUUUAAAGGGGGUGGCUUCAGCCAGCUUGGAGUUAGUCAGGUUUUGUUUGGUUUUGGUUUUGGGGUUUGUUUUUUUUUUGGUCUCUCCCAUAUAUACAGGAGCUGGACGUGUUAUUAAAUGACUUGUUUUUCUCCUCUUAAUCUGUCUUUUGUUACGGGAGCGUCUCAGCCUAGAAGGGUAAAGGGAAAAGUAUUUUUUCUCCCCUACAGGGGUCAGGAAGGCCUCAUCAAGAAGGUGACAUUGGAGCAAAGGCUCAAAGGAGGUGAAAGAGUAGGCCGGGCAAUUUUCUAGGGAAAGAAACCUCCUGGGGCGCCUGGGUGGCUCAGUCGGUUAAGCAUCUGCCUUCA